GAGAAGUUUAUUAUUGAAAGCUACCCAAAUGUUCCUUUACACUUAACAGGAUUUAGUUUUGCCAAAGCCGAGAAAGGGAGACGUUUGCAUAGCUUGCAAACUGAAACUGCUGCUCAAUUACAGAAAAAAAUUGGGAAAGGCAAAAUAUUCAUAAUUCCUCACCGUGACAUACCACUACCGAUUCAGAUGGAGCAGAUACACACGGCACAAGAAGAAUCAGAAUUUAGACCAGAAAUUCCAGGUCAAGUGCAUGCAGAAACAAGUUAUCAGGGAGCGCAGGCAACAUUGUCACAGGAGCCACAUGUAGAUAGGCUGGAAAACACAAGAGAACCUCAAGCAGAAGUAGAUAGCCAG